rnacentral:rRNA from 1 species
UACUACCGAAGCUACGGCAUCAGUAAUGAUGGGUAGGGGAGCUUCCCAUACGGGUUGAAGCAUGACCGUAAGGACAUGUGGACAGUAUGGGAGUGAGAAUGUUGGCAUGAGUAGCGAGAUGUGGGUGGGAAUCCCACAGGCCGUAAACCCAAGGUUUCCAGGGGAAGGUUCGUCCGCCCUGGGUUAGUCGGGACCUAAGCUGAGGCCGAAAGGCGUAGG